rnacentral:lncRNA from 1 species
CCAGCCUCAGAACUUGAGUUUUAGAGGGAUCAGAGGGAAACGGGGAUUUUGGGGUUGGAGGUGGCCCAAGAGCACCUGAACUUGCCCACAUCUCCAUGUCCAGCCCCAAAAACUGAAUUUUAGUGGGAUCAGAGGGAAAUGGGGAUUUUGGGGUGGGGAGGGAAUUAAAAAUCAUCCCAUUCCAAGGGCGGGGCACUUCCCACUGUCCCAGGAGGCUCCAGCCUGGCCUUGGGACAGGCAGCACCUCCAGAAUUGGAUCUUUGCGGGAUCUCUGGGCUUGGGAUCUUUUCUCCAGCACCAAAUUUCUCUUCCCAAAUCCUCUUCCCGCAGCGCGUCCCUAAGGGAACGAAAGCCAAGCCAGCAGACGGGGGAUCCCCCAAAACCAUUUAUUCCCUGGUCAAGCGUCCGGAGCAGGCGGAUGAUGGGACGGCAGAAAAUGCCACCAUGACCGGCCUGGAACUGGUCUAGAAGGACCUGGGACUGGUCCAGAAGGACCUCAAACUGGACUAGAUGGACCCAGAACUGGCUUAAAGAACACGAAACUGUUUUAAAGGAUAUAAAACUGGUUUAAAGGAUAUAAAACCGGUUUAAAGGAUAUAAAACUGGUUUCAGAACACGAAACUGCCUUAAAAAAUCUGGAAGUGAUUUAAAAGUCUGCAGCUAUUUUAAUGAGUCUGGACCUGGUUCACAAGAAACCACAACUGGUUUAGAUGAAGCUGGAAGUGGUUGAAAAGAUCCAGAACUGGUUGAAAAGACCCGGAAUCGGUUGAAAAGACCCAGAACUGGUUGAAAAGGCCCAGAACUGGUUGAAAAGAUCCAGAACUGGUUGAAAAGACCCAGAACUGGUUGAAAAGACCCAGAACUGGUUGAAAAGACCCGGAACUGGUUGAAAAGAUCCAGAACUGGUUGAAAAGAUCCAGAACUUGUUGAAAAGACCCAGAACUGGUUGAAAAGACCCAGAACUGGUUGAAAAGACCCAGAACUGGUUCAAAAGACCCAGAACUGGUUGAAAAGACCCGGAACUGGUUGAAAAGACCCAGAACUGGUUGAAAAGACCCGGAACUGGUUGAAAAGACCCAGAACUGGUUGAAAAGACCCAGAACUGGUUGAA